rnacentral:rRNA from 1 species
AGCCUUUUGCUUCUAUAAAAGGUAAGGCCUGCCCGGUGUAAUUUAUAAACGGCUGUUUACAUUAAAGUAGCGUAAUAAUUUGUUCUUUUAUUGGGGACUUGAAUGAAUGGCAGAACGGAAACUAGCUGUUUCUUUUGAAGUUAAAAAAAUUUCUAUUUAAGUGAAAAAGCUUAAGUCAGCUAAAAGGACGAGAAGACCCUAUAGAAUUUAAUAGUAAAAAAUUUUUAAAUUUUAUCUAUUUUGUUGGGGCAACAGAGGAGAAUAUACUCCUAUUAAAAAAUUUGUUAUCCCAAAUAAAUUGACCCUAAAAUAGAAAAAAGAAAAAUUACCUUAGGGAUAACAGCGUAAUAUCCCCCAGAGAGACCUAAUUGAAGGGGGAGUUUGCGACCUCGAUGUUGGACUAAGAUACCUUUCGAGUGCAGCAGUUUGAAUAGUAGGCCUGUCCGGCUUUUAAAAUCUUACAUG